AAUAUUGCGCAAUGGGGGGAACCCUGACGCAGCAACGCCGCGUGAGUGAAGAAGGCCUUCUGGUCGUACAACUCUGUCAUCGGGGAAGAAAAAAAUGACGGUACCCGAAGAGGCAGCCCCGGCUAACUAUGCGCCAGCAGCCGCGGUAAUACGUAGGGGGCAAGCGUUGUCCGGAAUUACUGGGCGUAAAGGGUGCGUAGGCGGCCUGAUAAGUCAGAUGUGAAGUACCAGGGCUCAACCCUGGGGGUGCAUUUGAAACUGUAAGGCUUGAGUGCAGGAAAGGAAAGUGGAAUUCCUAGUGUAGCGGUGAAAUGCGUAGAGAUUAGGAGGAACACCAGUGGCGAAGGCGACUUUCUGGACUGUAACUGACGCUGAGGCACGAAAGCGUGGGGAGCGAAC
rnacentral:rRNA from 1 species